AGACGAGUGCUGCAUGGCUGUCGUCAGCUCGUGUCGUGAGUAUGUUGGGUUAAGUCCCGCAACGAGCGCAACCCUUGCCUUUAGUUGCCAGCAGUUCGGCUGGGCACUCUAAAGGGACUGCCGGUGUUAAACCGGAGGAAGGUGGGGAUGACGUCAAGUCCUCAUGGCCUUUAUGACCAGGGCUACACACGUACUACAAUGGCCGAUACAAAGGGUUGCCAAGCCGCGAGGUGGAGCUAAUCCCAUAAAACCGAUCGUAGUCCGGAUCGCAGUCUGCAACUCGACUGCGUGAAGUCGGAAUCGCUAGUAAUCGUGAAUCAGAAUGUCACGGUGAAUACGUUCCCGGGCCUU
rnacentral:rRNA from 1 species